GCCUGGGUGGCUCAGUGGUUGAGCAUCUGCCUUUGGCUCAGGGUGUGAUCCUGGAGUCCUGGGAUCGAGUCCCACAUCAGGCU
rnacentral:tRNA from 1 species